AAUGGGGGGAACCCUGACGCAGCGACGCCGCGUGCGGGACGGAGGCCUUCGGGUCGUAAACCGCUUUCAGCAGGGAAGAGUCAAGACUGUACCUGCAGAAGAAGCCCCGGCUAACUACGUGCCAGCAGCCGCGGUAAUACGUAGGGGGCGAGCGUUAUCCGGAUUCAUUGGGCGUAAAGCGCGCGUAGGCGGCCCGGCAGGCCGGGGGUCGAAGCGGGGGGCUCAACCCCCCGAAGCCCCCGGAACCUCCGCGGCUUGGGUCCGGUAGGGGAGGGUGGAACACCCGGUGUAGCGGUGGAAUGCGCAGAUAUCGGGUGGAACACCGGUGGCGAAGGCGGCCCUCUGGGCCGAGACCGACGCUGAGGCGCGAAAGCUGGGGGAGCGAA
rnacentral:rRNA from 1 species